GCCGGGGUGGUGAAACUGGUAGACGCAGAGGACUCAAAAUCCUCCGGGCGCAAGCCCAUGCGGGUUCGAUUCCCGCCCCCGGCACCA
rnacentral:tRNA from 1 species